rnacentral:rRNA from 1 species
CCGCCCGUCACAUCAUGGGAGUUGGCUUUACCCGAAGGCGGUGCGCUAACCAGCAAUGGAGGCAGCCGACCACGGUAGGGUCAGCGACUGGGAUGAAGUCGUAAACAAGGUACC